GAGGGUAGAGCUCAGCGGUAGAGCCCAUGCUUAGCGUGCACGAGGUCCUGGGUUCACUCCCCAGUGCCUCCA
rnacentral:tRNA from 1 species